CCAAGAAAAAGGUGCAAAAAAGUGUAUUUUUUUCUUUUCUUCUCUCGGCUAUCAAACACAGCCAUGGUGUUGGUGUUAGAUUUUGGUUUUCUUUCGGUGCUUGUUCACUCUCAAAAUCGAAGAAAAUCAUGUCAAUGAAUUCGGUAUGGAGAAGGUUGUAGCCUUAUUGUCUUGGGGCGGAAAUAGCUGACUGAUAGCCAUGGCAAUUUUUGCCGAACUGCAGAAUGCCCUGAAGGGUGCUGAAGGUAGACAUGCAUGCAGAAUCAUAUGCCCACAACUUCUAAUCCUUAGAUAAAGUUCAAUGGAGGAGAAAAUAGAGGUCCAAGAAGUGAUUCUUACUUGAUCAAGAUACUGAAACUUGCCCUGAAGAUCAUGUGCUGUUGGCAUCAGAUCAUAUGGCCCGAAGCUAUCAAUCUCAUGGAGUAACUUCUUCUCAACUUCUGGAUGCUCAGCGACAAGAUAAAGGAUCGAAGAGAGUGUAAAGGAUGUAGUUGCUGAACCAGCAAGCAAGUGUUCAUAAUCAGUAGUUCCUGGUAUCCUCUCGAGGAUUUGCCUGCAAGGUUCUUGGAGGAUAGGGGCUAAUAGUCCCAAGAUCAUGGAGAAUGAACCUGAGAGGUCCAUCCUGAGAGCUGUGGUUGAGUAGAUAUGUUGUUUGAUAAAAUCUGCAACUUCAUCAUCAUUGCUGUAUCCAUGAUCAUGAUCAGUACUGCCAUUAAUGUUCUUCAUUGAA